rnacentral:rRNA from 1 species
AGUGAACGCUGGCGGUAGGCCUAACACAUGCAAGUCGAACGGCAGCACAGUAAGAGCUUGCUCUUACGGGUGGCGAGUGGCGGACGGGUGAGGAAUACAUCGGAAUCUACUUUUUCGUGGGGGAAAACGUAGGGAAACUUACGCUCAUACCGCAUACGACCUACGGGUGAAAGCAGGGGAUCUUCGGACCUUGCGCGAUUGCAUGAGCCGAUGUCGGAUUAGCUAGUUGGCGGGGUAAAGGCCCACCAAGGCGACGAUCCGUAGCUGGUCUGAGAGGAUGAUCAGCCACACUGGAACUGAGACACGGUCCAGACUCCUACGGGAGGCAGCAGUGGGGAAUAUUGGACAAUGGGCGCAAGCCUGAUCCGGCCAUACCGCGUGGGUGAAGAAGGCCUUCGGGUUGUAAAGCCCUUUUGUUGGGAAAGAAAAGCAGCAGGUUAAUACCCCGCUGUUCUGACGGUACCCAAAGAAUAAGCACCGGCUAACUUCGUG